ACAUUUUUCCCCUACAGAUUUUUUGUCAGCAUUUUAAUUCAGAGUUGGAUUCCAGUGGGUGGAGGAGGGCCAUUAUACACAUUUUUCUCUUUCAGAUUUAUUGUCAGCAUUUUAAUUCAGAGGUGGAUUCCAGUGGGUGGAGGAGGGCCAUUAUACACAUUUUUUUCUUU